GACAGAGGUGCCGAGCGUUAGGCGGAAUCACUGGGCUUAAAGCGUGUGUAGGCGGCCCGUUAAGUGUCUUGUGAAAUCCCCCGGCUCAACCGGGGAACGGCUGGGCAUACUGGCGGGCUUGGGUCGCUCAGGGGCAGACGGAACAGGCGGUGGAGCGGUGAAAUGCGUAGAUAUCGCCUGGAACGCCGAAGGUGAAAACAGUCUGCUGGGGGCGCACCGACGCUGAGACACGAAAGCCAGGGGAGCAAACGGG
rnacentral:rRNA from 1 species